UACGUAGGGGGCAAGCGUUGUCCGGAUUUAUUGGGCGUAAAGAGCGUGUAGGCGGCCAGGUAGGUCAGCUGUGAAAACUCGAGGCUUAACCUCGAGACGCCGGCUGAAACCCUCUGGCUAGAGUCCGGAAGAGGAGAGCGGAAUUCCUGGUGUAGCGGUGAAAUGCGCAGAUAUCAGGAAGAACACCCGUGGCGAAGGCGGCUCUUUGGGACGGUACUGACGCUGAGACGCGAAAGCGUGGGGAGCGAACAGG
rnacentral:rRNA from 1 species